rnacentral:ncRNA from 2 species
AAAAUAUGAUUCUUUUAAAGUGCCUGAAUACUCAGGAUAAUAGGGAAGCCGGUGGAAAUCCGGCGCAGCCCCCGCUACUGUAAGCGCAGAUUGAACUGAAUCGCCACUGACUCUAAUGUCGGGAAGGCUCAAGUAACAAGAUGAAGCGCAAAGCCAGGAGACCUGCUUUAAUUGAUUUUUGCUU